rnacentral:rRNA from 1 species
AACGAACGCUGGCGGCAGGCUUAACACAUGCAAGUCGAGCGCCCCGCAAGGGGAGCGGCAGACGGGUGAGUAACGCGUGGGAAUCUACCCAUCUCUACGGAAUAACGCAUGGAAACGUGUGCUAAUACCGUAUACGUCCUUCGGGAGAAAGAUUUAUCGGAGAUGGAUGAGCGCGCGUUGGAUUAGCCAGUUGGUGGGGUAAAGGCCUACCAAGGCGACGAUCCAUAGUUGGUCUGAGGGGAUGAUCAGCCGCACUGGGACUGAGAUACGGGCCAGCCUCGUGCGGGGGGCAGCAGUGGGGAAUGUUGGACAAUGGGCGCAAGCGUGAAACGGCCAUGCCGCGUGGGUGAUGAAGGCCAGAGGGUUGUCAAGCUCUUUCACCGGUGAGGAUAAUGACGGUAACCGGAGAAGGAGCCCCGGCGAACUUCGUGACAGCAGCCGCCGUAAGAC